GAAAAAUGGUUGCUAGAUUUUGAAGGUGUGGCAGGGGGAGAUUUAGGCGGCUGGUCCAAGGAACGAGCUGGAACCUUAGGCUUGGUUUACUUACCCUUCUUUCGAGGAUGAGGGGUAGGCCGUUUACUAGGAAAGCGUGGGCUGACACGAGGGGUACUCCUAGGAGGAGGGGGCUCAGAACGAGAAUUGCAACUCCUAGAGGAACUAGGGGGGACCGAUCCCCCUCGCUGAUGGAGAUAUGGGAAGGGGAACCCGCAGGAGGGCUGUCAACCCUACUAGCCCCAACUUUACGUCGC
rnacentral:lncRNA from 1 species